GAGGGUAUAGCUCAGUGGUAGAGUGAUUGCUUAGCGUGCUUGAGGUCCCGGGCUCAAUCCUCAGUACCCCCA
rnacentral:tRNA from 1 species